rnacentral:lncRNA from 1 species
GGCUGCGCGCACGCUGUCUUGCAUGGCGUGCGAUUCCAUGGGCGACCUGGGUGCACCAGGCGGUCUCUCUCCCUGCAUGCCGCCUCUUUUUUCCCCUCUGUUGUUAUGCACGUCCUUUUUUCCUUUCUUCUGCGGAAUGGUUGUCUUUUUUCUUUUCUUGUUUUUUUUCCGCCCCUCUGGCUUGCGGUGUGCGGCCGGCGGAUUGUGCGAUGUGCGAGAGUGACGCCGAGAAAAGAGACGCGAGCGCAACAGAGGCACGUCCACGCCUGCCCUGUCAGGCUGGUCGCCGCCACAAAAAAUUUGGC